ensembl:lncRNA
CCGGCAAGUUAAUUCCAUCUCUGAGAUUCUGGUCUAUUCUCAGAAACGACUGACAAGCCUCAAGGACAGAACAAUUACUGGAUUCUUGGCUUUUUGUUAGUGGACAGGCAUUGGACUAGCUGGACCACAGUCUCUGCAGACUCGGGAACGGGCCACACCUCGACCCCUGUUUGCAGCACUCCCGUGGCCAGGGUAGUGCGGGUGCUGAUCUUGGAGGUUGCUGGGUCUCAUGCUGAACUUCACUUCCCACUGGUUCCUCCACUUUGGCCUUUUCGGGGCAAGUUCUGCUUUAAUCCAGUCACUUACUCUACAAAUGCAUGGCGAUUACCUGCUACCCACGAGAGACCGGCGCGCCGCCAUGAAUCAGGCAGGUAUAAUCCUUGUACUCAAGGAGAUUAUAAUUUAGGCCUGGUGGUGAACUGGGGAAUUGGGAUGGCAAAGGAGAUGUG